GGGGUGUUAGCUCAUUGGUAGAGCGUUCCCUUAGCAUGGGAGAGGUAGCGUGUUCGAUUCAUGCACACUCCA